UUUAUGGAGAGUUUGAUCCUGGCUCAGGAUGAACGCUGGCGGCGUGCCUAAUACAUGCAAGUCGAGCGAACGGACGAGAAGCUUGCUUCUCUGAUGUUAGCGGCGGACGGGUGAGUAACACGUGGAUAACCUACCUAUAAGACUGGGAUAACUUCGGGAAACCGGAGCUAAUACCGGAUAAUAUUUUGAACCGCAUGGUUCAAAAGUGAAAGACGGUCUUGCUGUCACUUAUAGAUGGAUCCGCGCUGCAUUAGCUAGUUGGUAAGGUAACGGCUUACCAAGGCAACGAUGCAUAGCCGACCUGAGAGGGUGAUCGGCCACACUGGAACUGAGACACGGUCCAGACUCCUACGGGAGGCAGCAGUAGGGAAUCUUCCGCAAUGGGCGAAAGCCUGACGGAGCAACGCCGCGUGAGUGAUGAAGGUCUUCGGAUCGUAAAACUCUGUUAUUAGGGAAGAACAUAUGUGUAAGUAACUGUGCACAUCUUGACGGUACCUAAUCAGAAAGCCACGGCUAACUACGUGCCAGCAGCCGCGGUAAUACGUAGGUGGCAAGCGUUAUCCGGAAUUAUUGGGCGUAAAGCGCGCGUAGGCGGUUUUUUAAGUCUGAUGUGAAAGCCCACGGCUCAACCGUGGAGGGUCAUUGGAAACUGGAAAACUUGAGUGCAGAAGAGGAAAGUGGAAUUCCAUGUGUAGCGGUGAAAUGCGCAGAGAUAUGGAGGAACACCAGUGGCGAAGGCGACUUUCUGGUCUGUAACUGACGCUGAUGUGCGAAAGCGUGGGGAUCAAACAGGAUUAGAUACCCUGGUAGUCCACGCCGUAAACGAUGAGUGCUAAGUGUUAGGGGGUUUCCGCCCCUUAGUGCUGCAGCUAACGCAUUAAGCACUCCGCCUGGGGAGUACGACCGCAAGGUUGAAACUCAAAGGAAUUGACGGGGACCCGCACAAGCGGUGGAGCAUGUGGUUUAAUUCGAAGCAACGCGAAGAACCUUACCAAAUCUUGACAUCCUUUGACAACUCUAGAGAUAGAGCUUUCCCCUUCGGGGACAAAGUGACAGGUGGUGCAUGGUUGUCGUCAGCUCGUGUCGUGAGAUGUUGGGUUAAGUCCCGCAACGAGCGCAACCCUUAAGCUUAGUUGCCAUCAUUAAGUUGGGCACUCUAAGUUGACUGCCGGUGACAAACCGGAGGAAGGUGGGAUGACGUCAAAUCAUCAUGCCCCUUAUGAUUUGGGCUACACACGUGCUACAAUGGACAAUACAAAGGGCAGCGAAACCGUGAGGUCAAGCAAAUCCCAUAAAGUUGUUCUCAGUUCGGAUUGUAGUCUGCAACUCGACUACAUGAAGCUGGAAUCGCUAGUAAUCGUAGAUCAGCAUGCUACGGUGAAUACGUUCCCGGGUCUUGUACACACCGCCCGUCACACCACGAGAGUUUGUAACACCCGAAGCCGGUGGAGUAACCUUUUAGGAGCUAGCCGUCGAAGGUGGGACAAAUGAUUGGGGUGAAGUCGUAACAAGGUAGCCGUAUCGGAAGGUGCGGCUGGAUCACCUCCUUUCU
rnacentral:rRNA from 1 species